AAAUUGAAGAGUUUGAUCAUGGCUCAGAUUGAACGCUGGCGGCAGGCCUAACACAUGCAAGUCGAACGGUAACAGGAAACAGCUUGCUGUUUCGCUGACGAGU
rnacentral:rRNA from 1 species